rnacentral:lncRNA from 11 species
UCAAAAUGACAGAGUGCUUCAGGAAAGAAGACACCUCUCAUUUCAAUCAUUUGCAAAACAACACACAAAAUGGCAUAUCCGUGAUGGAAGCAAAUUUAAAUGAGCUGUCUUCAUAAUAUUCUCUUCACCCUAGAAGAAAAUAUCAACAUAGCAAUAAAGAAG